rnacentral:rRNA from 1 species
GUGGGGAAUAUUGGACAAUGGGCGAAAGCCUGAUCCAGCCAUGCCGCGUGAGUGAUGAAGGCCUUAGGGUUGUAAAGCUCUUUUGUCCGGGAAGAUAAUGACUGUACCGGAAGAAUAAGCCCCGGCUAACUUCGUGCCAGCAGCCGCGGUAAUACGAAGGGGGCUAGCGUUGCUCGGAAUCACUGGGCGUAAAGGGCGCGUAGGCGGACUUUUAAGUCGGAGGUGAAAGCCCAGGGCUCAACCCUGGAAUUGCCUUCGAUACUGGGAGUCUUGAGUUCGGAAGAGGUUGGUGGAACUGCGAGUGUAGAGGUGAAAUUCGUAGAUAUUCGCAAGAACACCGGUGGCGAAGGCGGCCAACUGGUCCGAAACUGACGCUGAGGCGCGAAAGCGUGGGGAGCAAACAGGAUUAGAAACCCGUGUAGUCC